rnacentral:rRNA from 1 species
UGUGUAGGCGGAUUAAUAAGUCAGUGGUGAAAUCCUACAGCUUAACUGUAGAACUGCCAUUGAUACUGUUAACCUUGAGUAUAGUUGAGGUAGGCGGAAUGUGUUGUGUAGCGGUGAAAUGCUUAGAUAUAACACAGAACACCGAUUGCGAAGGCAGCUUACUAAACUAUUACUGACGCUGAGGCACGAAAGCGUGGGGAGCGAACAGGAUUAGAUACCCUGGUAGUCC